UGAAAACUACAUCGGAUUCAUCCUGAGAAGGAAAUGAGAUGAUAAGAAAAUUGGAAGGCACUAAAUAAUAUUAAAAAAAAAUUUCUGCGUUAAGUAAAUCCCACAUAUAUAUACUAAAAAACUUAACAGCCAAAUUGAAGACAAGUAGACAACAAAGGUAAAAUCACCCCUACUAUUACAGAGAUUUGUCAAUUCUCAACUACAAUGAAAAAGAUUUUAAAUUAAUUUCUAUCUUUGUUAAUUGUCUUCCGCAUCUAGGAUUUUCAAUUCUCAUCCCAACAAUAACCAACCUGAUUUCAUAUUAAUAUGGAUAUGGUAGAACCAAACCUUUCUUAUCAUGAG
rnacentral:misc_RNA from 1 species